rnacentral:rRNA from 1 species
AUACGGAGGGUGCAAGCGUUAAUCGGAAUUACUGGGCGUAAAGCGCGCGUAGGCGGUUUGAUAAGUCGGAUGUGAAAGCCCUGGGCUUAACCUGGGUACUGCAUUCGAAACUAUUUGACUAGAGUAUGGUAGAGGUAAGUGGAAUUCCAGGUGUAGCGGUGAAAUGCGUAGAUAUCUGGAGGAACAUCAGUGGCGAAGGCGACUUACUGGACCAAUACUGACGCUGAGGUGCGAAAGCGUGGGGAGCAAACAGGAUUAGAAACCCCGGUAGUCC